UUAAAUUCCCAUAUCAAGCCAUACUAAAAGGCGCGGAUCAUAAAGCCCGAGCAGAAUAGCACCUGAAAGAAUGCAGAUACUGUAGCCGCCCGCACAAGUUGCUCCAGUGGCAGAUCCGGCCGCUGCCUUCUCCCUGCACACACUGCGCUGAACAGCGAGCAAUGGACCUUCGCCUUUACCAGCGGCAUUUCUCUUUCGAUGGGAGCGGAAACAUGCUACCGCCUGCUGCACCGCUGCGAAACUCUGUGGGACCAGUAUUGCCAGUCGCACGAGCAGAUGAAGAUCAAGACGUGUGAGAAAUGGCCCAUGACGGAUGCGCGGCUUAACCAAACAGCUGACGCUGCCGCCAUGACAUGCCGGUAUAGUUUUUUCGCCAUGUUAAUAUAGGUGCAAGCAGCGGAAAUUAUUUUUCGAAUUUCCUUACAAAAAAGCACUACUGGUAAGACAAUUUUUUUUGCAAUAAGAACGAAAACUAUGGGCGCUGCCUGUAUGCGCUGAACGCACGGUACCCGCAGAAUCGUUUUUUCAAGGAUGAAGACGGCUCCGAAAAGGCCGCAUGGCAAAUCUUUACCGCCAAAUUAUGCGCGUCGCCUAUUAGUCUGCAACAGUUUACGGCGGCGUUGACUGAUUGUUACUACAUCAACUGGGACGCCUUCCAAAUUAAAUUCCCGUUACCACCGCUGCCCUGUGGGCAACUGUCUUACAACGCGUCCGUGGUUGAACGAUACGUCUGCAGCGUGCUGGUGGACUUUGCGCAACACCUUAACGGCACCGCGCGUACCGCAGUUACAAAAUCCUGCGGAGAUGAAGG